UGAACAUUUCAAAAUUAUAUUGAAUUUUUGUUUAAGAAAGUUUCAUAUUGGUAUAAGCUUGAUUAAUAAAUAGAAUUUUUUUUAACAAUUAAAAGAUGAUUUUUGCAACUACAAUAAAAUACUAGUUGUCGAUCAACCAGUAUCAAAAUUGUUUCGAAUCAAAAAAUACAUAUCAAAUCUUGACAAUAAAUUCAAUAUUUCAGUAAAAUGUCAGGUUAAAUUUGAGGCACUGAUUAUCAAAAAAUGUGCCAAGUACUUGUUACUUGCUUUUUUGGGGCCCUCACACAUGUUAUUCUCAGUUUUAUUUCAAUUAUUUUAAACGAGUACAGGGAAAAUAAUGAAGAAGAAACUCAGGGCACAACCAAUUCGAAGUGUGAGGUUUAGGAAUAAAUCAUUUUCAAGACAUCAAAAUACAACUGUAUAUUGAAUUGGAAAAAAAGGAAAACGGAUUAUUCAGAGAUAUCUAUCAUGUUAAUGUAUACAUUUCAAAAUAUUUGUUAUUUAUGACCGACUAUGUUGAGAAGGUGGGUGGCUGAUAAAUUGAAACAAAUAACA